GUGACGGCGGGCAGGGCAGGGGCCCAGAGACACGGUCGCUGCAGGAGGUAGGGCAGCGGUGGCUCCCCCCAGGCAAGGCAGUGUUACUCAUGCUUUAAAGAGGCCAAAAAACCUCAACCGAUGUCUCGUUUGAGGACCAGGUUCUGGAAUGCUGCAGCAUAUGGCACCAUGCAGUGAUGGGAAACAGAUCGGUGUCUGCAAUUCCUUACACAGGGUGCUCCUGAUUUUAAUCACACCACUGUAGGAGGUUGCUAAACACACUGAGCAUGGAGGCCAAGCAUUGCUCUGCGAGAAGAGAGAAAACAUAAAUGCCUUAAACAAAUAGUUCUAAGAACUGUUUCCUUUCUUUUUCAAGAACUCAUCUAUUUCCUGUCUGGAAACUGACAUAUCCCUGCCUUUGCAAGACAACUCACUUGCUUUUAUUUUGGUAUAUGGCAAGAAAAACAGAGAAUUGUACACAUAUCAGCAUCAACAUGAAUAGAGUUUAAAUGGAGUAGAAAAUUUGCCAAGGCCUCCAUUGCAAGUGCCAAUGAUGUAAGUGAGCAUCAAUACAAAACACCAUUAAUCCAGACGGUACAUCAGCUGUGUAUAUGUUAAUUCAGAUAUUUCAUUUCAUGGUGCUCUGUGACUGUUCCAAAUGAUUCCUCCAUGAUUUACUCACCUCUUCAAUAAAAAUAAUAUACUUUUUUAUUUAAA